rnacentral:rRNA from 1 species
GCCUAGCUAUAAACUAACAGCCAAACAACUAACUGUUCGCCAAAUAACUACGAGUGAAAACUUAAAACUUAAAAGACUUGACGGUACUUCAAACCAACCUAGAGGAGCCUGUCUAACAACCGAUAACCCACGAUUCACCCAACCACCCCUAGCCCAACAGUCUAUAUACCGCCGUCGCCAGCCUACCUUGUGAAAGCAAUAAAGUAGACACAACAGCGCACCCACUAGCACGACAGGUCGAGGUGUAACUAAUGAGGUGGACAAGAUGGGCUACAUUUUCUGCCACAGAACAAACGAACAGACCAUGAAACUGGAAACCGAAGGAGGAUUUAGCAGUAAGAUAAGAACAAAAUACUUAACUGAAACCUGCAAUGAAGUGCGU